rnacentral:rRNA from 1 species
UCAUAUGCUUGUCUCAAAGAUUAAGCCAUGCAUGUGUAAGUACAAGCCGAGUUAAGGCGAAACCGCGAAUGGCUCAUUAAAUCAGCUAUGUUUCAUUGGAUCUGUAAACCCACUUACAUGGAUAACUUUGGUAAUUCUAUAGCUAAUACAUGCAUCACGUCUCUGACCGGAAGGGAAGAGCGCUUUUAUUAGUUCAAAACUGGUCGGGCCUCGGUCCGUUAACCCACCUGUGGUGAAUCUGAAUAACUUUUCGCUGAGCGCACGGUCUCCGCACUGGCGCCGCGUCUUUCAAGUGUCUGCCUUAUCAGCUUUCGAUUGUAGGUUAUUCGCCUACAAUGGCUAUUACAGGUAACGGGGAAUCAGGGUUCGAUUCCGGAGAGGGAGCCUGAGAAACGGCUACCACAUCUAAGGAAGGCAGCAGGCACGCAAAUUACCCACUCCCGGCUCGGGGAGGUAGUGACGAAAAAUAACGAUGCGAGACUCAUCCGAGGCCUCGCAAUCGGAAUGAGAACACUUUAAAUCCUUUAACGAUUAUCAAUUGGAGGGCAAGUCUGGUGCCAGCAGCCGCGGUAAUUCCAGCUCCAAUAGCGUAUAUUAAAGUUGUUGUGGUUAAAAAGCUCGUAGUUGGACCUGUGUUCUGGACUGAUUGAUGGUUGGAGUUCACCGCCAGGUGAUUAUUACCGUCACGCUCCAGACAGGUCGACUAUUGAUUGAAUGAUGAUUGAUUUUUGCCCAGCCGGCUUGCACGGGGUGCUCUUCAUCGAGUGUCCCGAGUGGCCGCCGGCACGUUUACUUUGAAAAAAUUAGAGUGCUCAGAGCAGGCUACUUGAAUCGCCUGAAUGUCUAUGCAUGGAAUAAUGUAAGAGGACCUCGGUUCUAUUUGGUUCUUGUUGGUUUUCGGAACCUGAGGUAAUGACUAAUCGGGACGGGCGGGGGCAUUCGUAUUGCGACGCUAGAGGUGAAAUUCUUGGACCGUCGCAAGACGAACUACUGCGAAAGCAUUUGCCAUGGAUGUUUUCAUUAAUCAAGAACGAAAGUUAGAGGUUCGAAGGCGAUCAGAUANNNNNNNNNNNNNNNNNNNNNNNGAAACUUAAAGGAAUUGACGGAAGGGCACCACCAGGAGUGGAGCCUGCGGCUUAAUUUGACUCAACACGGGGAACCUCACCAGGCCCAGACACUGGAAGGAUUGACAGAUUGAGAGCUCUUUCUCGAUUCGGUGGGUGGUGGUGCAUGGCCGUUCUUAGUUGGUGGAGCGAUUUGUCUGGUUAAUUCCGAUAACGAACGAGACUCUAGCCUAUUAACUAGUCGACGGAUCUCCUGAAUUUGGUGUCCAGUUCGCAAGGUCUUCUUAGAGGGAUAAGUGGCAAUUGUAGCCGGACGAGAUUGAGCAAUAACAGGUCUGUGAUGCCCUUAGAUGUUCUGGGCCGCACGCGCGCUACACUGAAGGGGUCAACGUGCUCUACCCACUCCGAGAGGAGCGGGUAACCCGUUGAAACCCCUUCGUGAUAGGGAUUGGGGUUUGCAAUUGUUUCCCAUGAACGAGGAAUUCCCAGUAAGUGCAAGUCAUCAGCUGGCGCUGAUUACGUCCCUGCCCUUUGUACACACCGCCCGUCGCUACUACCGAUUGAAUGAUUUAGUGAGGCCUUCGGACUGGCGCUCUUGGACGUUGUUUAACACGUUGUUGUUGUUGUUGUUGCGCCUCCUCGGCGCGAGCGACGACGACGAUGGGUUCUCGCCUCGAGCUGACGGAAAGAUGUCCGAACUUGAUCAUUUAGAG